CCCCGCGCGGCGCUCGUAGGCGAGCUGUGCGCCGUUCCUGAGGCCGCAGCCUCCGUCGCCCGGCGCGGCGCUCGGCGGCGAGCUGCGCGCCGUUCCUGAGGCCGCAGCCUCCGUCGCUCGGUGCUUCACUCGUUGUCGAUCUGCGCGCCGUUCCUGAGGUUGCAGCCUCCUGUCGCCGGGCGCAGCGCUCGUCGGUGAGCUGCGCGCCGUUCCUUCUCGGCGGUCACCUUCGUGGCCCUGUUUGUCACGUUUGUCGCGCCCCAGCUACUGAGCUUCGUCCAGCACGUACCAUAACAUGGCUGCGAAGACUUGCCGUGGUUGAAGGACUGGGAGAAUACAUUGGAUCAGAGAGAGGGAAGAACGCAAUGGAAGACAUAGCUUACAUUUGGGGGAUCUGAUUCCUCAUUGGUCCCGGCAAGAAUUGGUGAAGACGCCAUCAAGUUCCUCGUAUCCCUUUGUUGGAUCUAUAUUUGUAGAUAGAUUUGAUGGAGGUGUAUGAUGUGGUCUGUUUGGAGUAACUAUGUACGGGAAAAGUUCACCACCAAUGUUUUGGCGCGCAAGAGUGAUUUAUUUCCCUCCAAAUCUCUAUUCUGUUGCGUUAAUUACGAUGGCUG